CCUACGGGAGGCUGCAGUGAGGAAUAUUGGUCAAUGGACGGAAGUCUGAACCAGCCAUGCCGCGUGCAGGAAGACGGCUCUAUGAGUUGUAAACUGCUUUUGUACAAGGGUAAACCUGAAUACGUGUAUUCAGCUGAAAGUACUGUACGAAUAAGGAUCGGCUAACUCCGUGCCAGCAGCCGCGGUAAUACGGAGGAUCCAAGCGUUAUCCGGAUUUAUUGGGUUGAAGGGGUGCGUAGGCGGAUUGAUAAGUUAGAGGUGAAAUGUCCGAGCUUAACUCGGGAACUGCCUCUAAUACUGUUGAUCUAGAGAGUAGAUGCGGUAGGCGGAAUGUAUGGUGUAGCUGUGAAAUGCUUAGAGAUCAUACAGAACACCGAUUGCGAAGGCAGCUUACCAAUCUAUAUCUGACGUUGAGGCACGAAAGCGUGGGGAGCAAACAGGAUUAGAUACCCCUGUAGUC
rnacentral:rRNA from 1 species